UGUAAGAAACAUACUUCUGCAUGGUUGUGCCCACUGAAGCAUUCUCAGUUUGGCUCAUGAGGAUCAAGGCUUUCCAUAAAAGCUAGAAGUUUUCUGAAGACUUAUUUAUAGUUUCAUAGAAGAAUUUAAAGGACUAUCCUCUGAACCUGUGAGUGCCUGUGUCCCUUUAAAAGUAUGAAUGGGAGUAAUCUCCAAACCCUGAAGAUUCAAGAGGCUUCUUGAGGAUUACAUUUGAAGAUAUGUGCAAAACUCUCUGUGCCCAAUAAAUGAAAUACAGAGACAAAGCGUGGAGCAGAGACUGAAGGAAAAGCCAUCUAGAGACUGCUGCACCUGGGGAUCCAUCCAAUAUACAGACACCAAACCCAGACACUAUUGUGUAUGCCAAGAAGUACUUGCCUACAGGAGCCUGAUAUAUCAGUCUCCUGAGAGGCACUGCUAGAGCCUGACCAAUACAGAGGCUGAUGCUUCCAGCCAACCAUUGGACUGAGAAUGGAAUCCCCAGUGGUGGAUUUAGAGAAAGGACUGAAGGAGCCGAAGGGGUUUGCAACCCCAUAGGUAGAACAAUAUCAACCAACCAGACCCCCCGAAGCUCUCAGCUACUAAACCACCAACCAAUGAACACGCCACAUAUGUAGUAGAGGAUGGUCUUAUUGGACACCAAUGGGAGGAGAGGCUCUUGGCUCUGUGAAGGCUCAAUUCCCCAGUGUAGGGGAACGCCGGGGCAGGAAGACAGCGGGAGUGGGUAGGUGGGAGAGUACCCUCAGAGAGGCAGGGAUGGGGAUGGAAUAUGAGGGUUCCAGAGGGCAAACGGGAAAGGUGUUA
rnacentral:lncRNA from 1 species